UAGGGAAUCUUCGGCAAUGGGGGGAACCCUGACCGAGCAACGCCGCGUGAGUGAAGAAGGUUUUCGGAUCGUAAAGCUCUGUUGUUAAGGAAGAACGAGUGUGAGAAUGGAAAGUUCAUGCUGUGACGGUACUUAACCAGAAAGGGACGGCUAACUACGUGCCAGCAGCCGCGGUGAUACGUAGGUCCCGAGCGUUGUCCGGAUUUAUUGGGCGUAAAGCGAGCGCAGGCGGUUAGAAAAGUCUGAAGUGAAAGGCAGUGGCUCAACCAUUGUAGGCUUUGGAAACUGUUUAACUUGAGUGCAGAAGGGGAGAGUGGAAUUCCAUGUGUAGCGGUGAAAUGCGUAGAUAUAUGGAGGAACACCGGUGGCGAAAGCGGCUCUCUGGUCUGUAACUGACGCUGAGGCUCGAAAGCGUGGGGAGCGAACAGG
rnacentral:rRNA from 1 species